rnacentral:tRNA from 1 species
AGGGAUAUAACUCAGCGGUAGAGUGUCACUUUGGCGUGGUGGAAAUCAUCAGUUUGAGCCUAAUUAUCCCUU